CAGAGGACUCUCAGCUGCGCUUGAUAACGUGGGCUUUGCUUUAUAAUUCCUUGGGAGAAGGAAAUUACCACCAGAACUCUUCGCCAAGACCCUGUCCAAGGCUGACAAGCUAAUGUACCUCCGAGGCUUCGGCUUCGCAUUCACCUGCUUCCCCUCAGGAAGGCCCCAGGAAGGGCCACCAAAGUCUUUCAGCUUCCCGGAGAAACAGGAGCCCUCCUGCUGGUCCUCCUGCUGGUCCUCCUGCCGGUCCUCCUGCCGGUCCUCCUGCUGGUCCUCCUGCUGGUCCUCCUGCUGGUCCUCCUGCUGGUCCUCCUGCCGGCCCGGCCCCCAGAACCAGAUAGGGGCUUGGUGGGCUCAUAUCCAUCAUGGCAAACCUCAAGUACAGCCCUCCCUGUUCUGUGGAGUAUGGCACUCUCAAAAUCUCUUCUGAGCUGGAGUGGCGGAGGCUGGGAAGUGUGAGAACGAUUUCCGCCUCCCCCUAAUUCUUCUCACUCCAAACCUGUCUGAUUGGGUUGGAAGUAUAAGCUGGUUGCUAAGCCACGACAGGGGUCAUUCCAGGGGGUGGACCCAAGAAUUCACAGAUACAUUUUCUCAAGAAAGGCCAAAGGGAGUCCUCACCCCAAGCUAGGCGCACCUCCAGAAUCAGUCCAGGUUCUGCUACAUAGGUGAAUGAACAAAGAGGUCAAACUCUCUACGUCUAGAAUCACCACAGUGCUCAGGUUUCCUUGCCAUACCCGGCUCUUAGAGGAGUGGGAGCUGGUCUUGCGAUUCCUCUGAAGCCAGCCAAAGCUUGGAAGCCCAGAGGGACACCCAUGCAGGCUUUGGUGUCUGCAAGCAACCAAAGCUGCCGGAUAAAGUCUCCCGGAAAUAGGUGCAGUGGGUUGGCCGAUGGUAUUUCCAGGGCGCACCUCAGUCCUGACCCCCAGGGCCUGGGAAUGGGACUCUAAUGCGGGAAUGUUUCUGUACAUAUCACCAAGGAACUCAAGAUUAAAUUACCUUGGAUUUAGAUUA